GGGGUAGAAGCUCAGUGGUUGAGCAAUCGAUUGCAGUUCGCUUGCAAAGCAUUAUGUACCAUCGAUAGGCCGCGUGUUCGAUCCACGUCUACCCCU
rfam:Rhizoctonia solani AG-1 IA unplaced genomic scaffold scaffold14, whole genome shotgun sequence.